rnacentral:rRNA from 1 species
UACGUAGGGGGCGAGCGUUGUCCGGAAUUAUUGGGCGUAAAGCGCACGUAGGCGGCUUUGCAAGUCCCAUGUGAAAGCCCACGGCUUAACCGUGGAAGUGCAUGGGAAACUGCAGAGCUUGAGUACUUAAGAGGAUCGCGGAAUUCCCGGUGUAGAGGUGAAAUUCGUAGAUAUCGGGAGGAACACCAGUGGCGAAGGCGGCGAUCUGGGAAGAUACUGACGCUGAGGUGCGAAAGCGUGGGGAGCAAACAGG